rnacentral:rRNA from 1 species
UACGGGGGGAGCAAGCGUUGUUCGGAUUUACUGGGCGUAAAGGGCGCGUAGGCGGCGCAACAAGUCACUUGUGAAAUCUCCGGGCUUAACCCGGAGCGGCCAAGUGAUACUGUCGUGCUAGAGUGCGGAAGGGGCUACUGGAAUUCUCGGUGUAGCGGUGAAGUGCGUAGAUAUCGGAAGGAACGCCGGUGGCGAAAGCGAGCUGCUGGAUCCCUCCUGACGCUGAGGCGCGAAAGCGUGGGGAGCAAACAGG